GGGGAAUUUUGGACAAUGGGGGCAACCCUGAUCCAGCCAUGCCGCGUGAGUGAAGAAGGCCUUCGGGUUGUAAAGCUCUUUCGGCCGGGAAGAAAUCGUGCAGGCUAAUACCCUGUAUGGAUGACGGUACCGGAAUAAGAAGCACCGGCUAACUACGUGCCAGCAGCCGCGGUAAUACGAAGGGGGCUAGCGUUGCUCGGAAUCACUGGGCGUAAAGGGUGCGUAGGCGGGUUUCUAAGUCAGAGGUGAAAGCCUGGAGCUCAACUCCAGAACUGCCUUUGAUACUGGAAGUCUUGAGUUCGGGAGAGGUGAGUGGAACUGCGAGUGUAGAGGUGAAAUUCGUAGAUAUUCGCAAGAACACCAGUGGCGAAGGCGGCUCACUGGCCCGAUACUGACGCUGAGGCACGAAAGCGUGGGGAGCAAACA
rnacentral:rRNA from 1 species